rnacentral:lncRNA from 1 species
AAAUUAAUGUGCAACAUUAGAUUUUAGCAAUAUUAACAAUUAAACGAAUAGAAAAAAAAUACUGAUGGAAAGAAUUACUUGAUUGAUAGAAUAUGAAUAAGACAAGUUAAAUAUAUGUCACGAGUUUCCGAGAAAACAGAGAAAAAAAACCCAUUCAUCGUGAAAUCAAUACAAAUUGAACUUAAGAUACACAAUUAAGCAAAGGCACACUAAUUUAUUAACAAAACAAUGCAAACAAUUCAACAAUUCUUUAUUCACAGAUGGGUACAUGAAGUGUAAAAACUGAUACAAGUUGAUAUCAUUUCAUUUACAAUUCAAUAAACAUAUAGCAGGGUUCUCAUUAGGAAUUUUUCAUAGUGA